rnacentral:rRNA from 1 species
UACGUAGGGGGCAAGCGUUGUCCGGAAUUAUUGGGCGCAAAGAGCGCGUAGGCGGUCCGGUAAGUCGGUUGUGAAAGUCGGGGGCUCAACCCUCGGAUGCCGAUCGAUACUGUCGGGCUAGAGUCCGGAAGAGGCGAGUGGAAUUCCUGGUGUAGCGGUGAAAUGCGUAGAUAUUGGGUGGAACACCAGUGGCGAAGGCGGCUCACUGGACCGGAACUGACGCUGAGACGCGAAAGCGUGGGGAGCGAACAGG